ensembl:antisense 4632427E13Rik RIKEN cDNA 4632427E13 gene
AGAGAAGAACUGGACCGGCCGCCAUGUUGGAGCCCUGGAGCUGCGGCGAGCCGAGGUUUCGAGGGGCUCGUGGAGCCGAAAGGUGGCAUGGUGAGAAUGGUGAGGCUAGGAUGUAGAACUUGAUAGCCUCGCGCACCGGCUAGGACUGAACGGAGGCUACACUGGGGACCUUCAGGGCUGUCGAGCCAGAAAUGCCAUCGCGAGUCGGAGUGAACCGCAACCCGCUGGGGUUGCACAAGGCCUCGCCACCCCGGGACACAGGGAGUCGCUUUACUGAGCGUGGAGAAACCCUUAGACUUCCUGGGGAGACUCUCUGGGCAAAAUGUGUCUUUGUUGUGGUGUGGGGACUCGGGGCGACGGGCCUCGCGCCUGUAAGACGAAAAGCUCGCGUGCACCCUGUGAGUGGAGCUAAACCUAGGUUAUUUUUAUUUAUUUAUUUUUUGCCUUGUCAUUUUUCUUAAUCCCUCAUGAUCAUUUCCUCAGGUGUCAGACCCCUGCUCCCACCACUGAAUUUUCGUUCGGUCGUGAAUUGCAAAGGGCCUCAAAGAAAUCCUUUGCUAGAUAAUGUGAUCGCGAAGGGUUGUGGAGCUUGGCCCUGAAAAUGACAAAGGAAGGAUCUACCAAAAGAAGUUAGCACCUAACCUUUCUUACCCCACCAGCGAACGUAAACGACAUUGAAAAGGGACUGCAAGUGAGCAGUCUUUCUCGACUAACGCUAAAUGAACUGUGCUAAAAUACUGCGUAUAUUCGAAGUUGAUAACUGUGGAAAACUUCCCUUUUCUUUUGUUACCUAUAUUGUGCAAAAUAAUGUGUUUUGUUGUGACAUCUUCGUGCAGAUAACGUUAGUUAACACAUCAUCCCCUUCCCUUAACCACUUGGUACCCUUACCGAUGAAAAUACAUUCAGAAUACUUAAAGAACUUUUGAGCCUAUUUGCUCAGCAUCUCAACACCUUUUCUCCAGUAACUCAAACAGUACUGUGUGUUUGUUUUUCAGGUUCUGAAGUUCACUAUAGAAAGAUGCCAAAAGACCUACUGAGGGUCUCUGAAAAGUUAAAAAUGCUGAUAUGCAUAAUUUGAGUGUUUUAUUUUUCCCCUCCCGAGCUUUUCGAAGGAGAUGGCUAGCUCGGUGGUGAGGAUUCCCACAGCACAGUCAAGACCCUGGAUUGUAUCCCUAGCACUGGUCUGUUUGCAUCAGUGAAAAUAUAUACUGUGCCUCUGUUAGAAAUUAAUAAAGUUCCAGUAGGUCUUCCUUUCAAAAAGCUAGGCAGGCUGCUUUUUAAAUUUCCAAAACACAACAGGAACCUUCAAAGAUAUAUGGAGAUGAUGGUACUUAAAAAGGAUGUUUUUUUCAAAGAUUGGCUUGUGGUGUGAGAAGCAGCCACAGAAGUGGCAGAUGCCAUUCUUGUGGAUUCAGCAACGUGAAGCCUCAGAAAUACUACGCUCUUCUGCUUGUAAUGUUGAUUUUAGCAGGCUCGGAUAAUUAAAGGGCACUAGAAAACAUGUCUUUGCAAGGAUAUAUGCUGAUAAACUAUAUGUGUUAAUGAAUAUAGCCAUUUCCAGAAAUUUAGGUAUGCAGAGAUGCUCAACUGUAACCAUUUAUGUAAGUAGGUAUACAUUCAUAGUCUUUAAGAAUUUUUGAUGAUGCUGUGUGUGUGUAUAUGGUCUUGUUAUAAACUGUAAUCCUGAGUUGUAUCUCUUUUUUUAUACGCAGCUUUAUUGAAAUGAAAUUCACAUAUGCCCUUCACCUACAUAAAGGGUGCAGUCCAAUGGGUUUUAGUUUGCUCAGAGUUUGGGCAAUCAACACAAUUAUACAAAAAACAAACAAACAACAACAAAAAAAUGCAAAACCAUGCUUGUAAGUAUAAGGAAAUAAUUGGGGAAGGAUUUUUGCCUUCUAAAGUGGUAAUACAAAGCUUAUUGUGGGUAAUAUCUUAGAGUACUUCAAUUACAGUUGCAAUACUGUAAGUAAAUAGCAUGUUCCUUGUAUGUACUAAGUGGCCUUUACUGGAAACAUACUAUUUUGUAACAUAGGUUACUGGCAAUUACGUGUCACAGCACUGUCACAGCUCAGAAUUCUUUAAGAGUGAUGCAUACUUACAUUGAUUGCUUUCUUUUUCUGUAGGAUUAUCAUGCUGGGCAUUAUGCCUUCCUUGACUGUAGUCCCUGAGCCUAGUCCAUGCUCAGUGUUCAUGCUUAGUCUUUCUAAACCUUGGCUUCCUUUUUGCUUUUGAGAGGGUUCCUGAGCUUUUUGUUUCCCAAACUGGCAUUGUUCCCCGUGAAGGCUAAGAUUUGUUAUUUUCAUAAAAACUCCAAAUUAAUAUAGUGAAGAGUCAACACAUUUCAGGGUUUAAGGAAUGAAUGGAAUAGAGAAAAGCAGGUACCAAAUGAAGAGGUUUGAAUCUCUGAAAGAUAAAUGUUUGUAGGGGCAGGCAGAAUUAAAAGGGUUUAUUUUAAAUGUUAGAAGCAACAGCCUACUUACUUUUAAAGAUUUAUAUGCUUGGAUAUUUGCCGUCAUGUAUGUGCCUGCUAGGGUGCCCACAGAGGUCAGAAGAGAGCCUCAGAUUGCCCUGGAACUAGAGGUUGUUUUGAGCCGCCAUGUGGAUGUUGGAAACUGAACUUGAUCCUUUGCAAAAGCAACAAGUUCUCUUAACCACUGAGCCGUCUCUAUCCUCGCACAACUUUCUAAAUCCCCUCUUAGAAACUAAAGGCCAGUCCUAACUCAGUGCACAGUGAUCAUGUCCUCAAGGAAUCUGAGGACAUUUAAACUUAAACUCUCCUGGGAAACCCAGCCAAAAAGGCAAAGAAAAGGAUCUCUGAAAUACUUUUACAGUAAUUUUCUUGUAUAAUACCCAGUGGUUUGGGUUUCUUUCUAAAACCCAGCACUGUGGAAGUAGAAACAGGGAAACUGUGACUUGGAGCCCAGCCUGGACUAUGUGGGGAAUUCCUGUCCAACCACAGGAAAUUUUUUCAUUGAAUUCUUUGUCUUUUCAUGAUUGCCAUUUUCUUUCAAGUCUUGGCUGCCUGCAUGACCAAACUUGUGUUUUGUGAAUUUUUUAUGACACUACUCAAAAAAGAAAAGAAAAAAAAAGGACAUAAGCAGGGUAUUUACACUUCAUUAAUGCACACCAAACCCAACUGGGAUCUUUAAAACCGUGAUUGGAGAGGGUUAAAAUUCAGUGAACGAGACUGCUCUCUGUUACUGACGAGAGAAAUGCAUAAUGAUUGAAUUUGUUAGAUUACUUUUGUGGGAAAUGUGUGGUUGUACAGAUACAAAAGAUGCAAAAGGAGAGAAGCAACUGAGAGGCAGUAUAGCCCUCUGUAAAUGUCAUAAAUCCAAGUCUAACAAUUAUGAAUCAAAUUUUACAUUGCCUGAAGUUAUUCUCAUCUCAUUACUUGCCUGUUUUCUCUAGAGAUUUAACCAGAAAGAUAAAUGAAGAAAAAACAGCAAAGACAGUAAGAGUUCUAUAAAAUGAAAAACUAGAAAUCAAGGUUCAAAAGACAGUUGGCCUGCACAUAUAUACAUACCUUCCCCUACCACCACCCUUUUUUUUUCCCCAGAGACAGAUUCUCUUUAUAGCUCUGGCUGUCCUGGGGCUAUCUGAGAAAACAGGCUGGCCUCAAACUGAUCUACCUUGCCACCCUUUUUUCUCUGCUAAGCUAAUUAGGUAACUAAUUAAUACUUGAGCAAUGAUCCAGAAUAAAUUUCAAGUAACUUAAGUAGAAAUAAGUUGUUUUUUCUUUGAGACAGGAUCUUUCUACGUAGCCUUGCCUGGCUGCUCUAGAACUUACUGUGUAGACCAGGCUGGCCUUAAACUCACAGAGAUCCCCCUGCCUCUACCUCCCUAGUGCUGGGGUUAUAGGCAUGCACCGCAUGUACUAUGCUGAUACAAAAUGAGUUCCUGAUAGCCUGCCAUAGUUGAGGUAAGUAAAUUUUUAGAGGAUACUUCAGUACUAUGACAGAAUUGUCUUUAAAAGUAUUUGACCAUGUGGGAAGUGAUUCCUGUGUGAUAAAAUACACAUGUCAAAUUAAAGUGUUUGUGAAGCCAUUUCUUCUGUACACCUGUGGUCACGACUGAUCAGAAAGUUGAUUUUGUCAUUUAGUAUAGGCUUUAUCAAUAGAAGAAUGUGUUUGUUUGAGUCUCACUUUAAUAUAAUGUUGACAUUCAUUCUGGGAUUUUACUGGUAUAAAAAUUAUAUGCCUACUUCAUUGAGUUUUCCAAAGAAUUAAGGAAGUAUAUGAAAAGUGCUUAAUGUUCCCAAAGGCAGUGUUGUGUAUGAUCUUAGAACACAAACUGAGGGGAAAACAAUCUUUUUCACUAAGAUUCACUAAAUACUAAAAGUUACCACUUUUAAGCAUUAAAAAUUGAAUUUCCUUAUUAUAAAUCUGUGUUCUUUCAGUUUUAACUGCCAUCAAUACUAUAUUUAGUAAUACCCUAUAUAAUAUGUAAAAUCUCUACAUACACAAUUUGCAGUUAUCCGAAAGACUUACAUUGACAAUUAAAAUGAGAGUAUCUGAAUAAUAGAACUACCCAUUUGGGAGAUAGGAUGUACACAUACCUAAAGUUGUGCUGGUAGGCGGUCUGCUUAAAGAAUGGCAAGUAUAUGAGAACUCCAAAAUCCAAAAUGGAAACAAGACUGUUAGUGUCGAGACCCUCCACUGUUGCACUGACUAUGAUGUCAGUUUAGAGGAGGGAGGUCUGAAUCAGAUCUUAAUUUUAAAAUGUUCUUAGCACAUCACCAAGUUCAGUACUAAGAGAGACAAUUAGACCCAUCUCUUGAAUUCAAGGCCAGUAGGGACUACAUAAUGAGAUCCUGUCUCACAAAACAACAGAAAACACCAACAUGAGUCAUUUGAAGAAUAUUGUCCAACCACAUAAGUGUUUAGAUCCAAUAUAUAGUUAGUUUAGGGAAAUUGUAAAUCACGGGGUUUAUUAAUGUGUCAUUAAAACAAAGGUGUUGCCAGGCAGUGGUAGCGCAUGUCUUUAAUCCCAGCACUUUGGAGGCAGAAUCAGGAUUUCUGAGUUCAAGGCCAGCCUGGUCUACAGAGUGAGUUCCAGGACAGCCAGGGCUACACAGAGAAACCCUGUCUCGGGGAGGAAAAACAAAACAAACAAAAAAAAGGUGUUGAGUAAGAAGCUGCCCUAUAAUAUAUUGAUACUUAAAAGUGUCAAUAUUUGAACCAAAGUUUGAGCUAAUUGUAAAAUUUUGACUCAGUAACAAUUGUGUACUAAGCUCAAGGGCCUAGAGAUACAGUGAUACCCAUGUCCCUCCCUCAAAGUCAUGACGUAGCCUGUUUCAGUGUCAUGGACCCCUUUUUCAAUCUGCUAUCUAGAGAUCUCUUCUAAAACAAAACUUUUUACAUGCAUAAAGUACAGUAGAUUGAUUUAGGGAGAAAGUAAUAAGAAUCUUAAAAUUUAAGUUGUUACAGAGAAAUACAUGUUUUUUUUUAACUGUAGGUUGUCAGCAGCGCCUCAGCUAGUGUCCAGCAGAUAUAUUUCAAACUACCUGCAGCAAUAUUAUAAGAAAAUACGUUUAAUCAGGACAGUCUUCUUUACUGCUAAUACUGUAAUUUUUUACAUUAGGCAUUUUUCUUUAAUUUUUAAGAUUUUAUUUACUUUAUGUAUGAAUACACUGUCGCUGUCUACAGAUGCACCAGAAGAAGAUAUCCGGUCCCAUUAUAGGUAACUGGAGUACCAGAUGGUUGAUAGGAAUUGAACUCUUGACCACUAAGCCAUCUCCCCAGCCCAGAUUUUUCUUUAUUAUAAAAAGUACAAAUAGAAAAACACAUACACACUGAAAUUUACCAAACUAUAUGNNNNNNNNNNNNNNNNNNNNNNNNNUUUUUAUUUGAGAAUUUAAUACAUUUUGACCAUCCUCCCUGAUUAUAUUCAGAUUUUAAUAGAAGUCACUAAAAGUAAAGAAUUAACUUUUAACUAGUCUUGAAGCACUGUUUAUAAACCCCUGAUUUAAAACCUUGGCUACAAGUUUUAAUAGAAUUCCUUAUGUUCAUUGAUAAUUUCAUACAUGAAAAUAAUGUAAACUUAAUUCUAAGUUGGGCAGUAGUAGUGCAUGCCUUUAAUCUCAGCACUUGUUAGGGUUUGGUGUCAGAGGCAAAUAUAUCUGAGUUCCAGGCUAUCCUGGUCACAGAGCAAGUUCUAGGUCAGUCAGAACUACACAGAGAAAGCCUGUCAGGGACAAGGGGAGCCUUCUUAACUCUAGUAACUACUCUCAUUGCUGUACCCAAGGCCAGUUAAGGCUAAUUUAGUGGUACCUCAAACAGAAGAGGCUAGUGGAGUAGGAUAGACACCGGCCUGUGCAAAAAAAAAAAAAUCUCAACAUUGAAAAUGUGCCUUAUCCCAUUUAAGUCAAAAUACUUAUAAAAUGAAUUUAAGGGGCUGGAGAGUAGCUCAUUAUGAGCUGUAAAUUAUUUUUCAUGGAAUCUAUUUACUUUGACCUCUGGGCACAUAAAAGCUCUUAUUGGAUCUCUGAGUUUGAGACCAGCCUGAUCUACAGAGCAGUUUCCAUGACAGCUAAGGUUACACAGCAAAAACCCUUGUCUC